UCACAACAAGGUUCUUGAAAAGUAACUCUUCAUACAGCUGUGAGCUCUGUGAUUGCUAUGUUUGAAGCCACAUGAAGGCUCUAUAUGGGAUGUGGUAGAGCCUUCCAAGAGAAAGGGACACUGGCAUUGAAACCAAGCUCAAAAUCAAAGUACAUAGCAUUUCUGCAUCUGGCCAACAAUGAAACAAGCAAUAGGCACUAGAUCUCCUUUAUGGAAAUCCAUUGCAUUAGAAGAUGUGAUUAUAUGAGAUUUUUGACAAAGUAGUUCUGUUAUACACUGGAAAUUAGUGUGAAUUCCAGCAAACCUGAUUCCCUGCUGUGUGAAAUGGGAAAUCUGAAGAAGAAGAAAGAUCUGUCAA
rnacentral:lncRNA from 13 species